GACGAACGCUGGCGGCGUGCUUAACACAUGCAAGUCGAACGAUGAAGCCCUGCUUGCUGGGUGGACGCGUGUCGAACGCGUGAGUAACACGUGAGUAACCUCCCCUGUACUCUGGGAUAAGCAUUGAAAACGCUGUCUCUUAUUGGAUACGACCUCUCACCGCAUGGUGUGUGGGUGGAAAGAUUUGUCGGUUUUGGAUGGACUCGCGGCCUAUCAGCUAGAUGGUGAGGUAAUGGCUCACCAUGGCCACGACGGGUAGCCGGCCUGAGAGGGUGACCGGCCACACUGGGACUGAGAUACGGCCCAGACUCCUACGGGAGGCAGCAGUGGGGAAUAUUGCACAAUGGGCGGAAGCCUGAUGCAGCAACGCCGCGUGAGGGAUGACGGCCUUCGGGUUGUAAACCGCUUUUACUAGGGAAGAAGCGAAAGUGACGGUAACGGCAAAAAAAGCACCGGCUAACUACGUG
rnacentral:rRNA from 1 species